UCUCCGUUGGUGAACCAGCGGAGGGAUCAUUAUAGAGUUUUUUAGACUCCCAAACCCAUGUGAACUUACCUUUGUUGCCUCGGCGGAGCCUACCUGGUACCUACCCUGUAGCGCCCCGCCGGUGGAUUUCUAAACUAUUGUUAUUGAAUGAUAUCUGAGGGUCUUAUUUUAAUAAGUUAAAACUUUCAACAACGGAUCUCUUGGUUCUGGCAUCGAUGAAGAACGCAGC
rnacentral:misc_RNA from 1 species